rnacentral:pre_miRNA from 1 species
ACCAGGUCUCCCCUGGAGUUCCCCUGAACGCUUCACUGAGAGGCUCUGUCAUUCUUACUGAAGUGUUUGGGGGAACUCUGGCUGUGGCUUGGU